AUUUAACAAACGCUGGCCUAGACAUUCAAUUUGGGCUGUCGCUCGAAGCCCAAAUCUUCUCGGUCUCUCACCCACUCGCCAGAGGCAGACACGACAAGGGCGACGGCGAUGGCCUCGCCGAAGCUCGCCGCCGGCGACGGCAGCUACGACUUCCACCUCCGCUCGCUCUCCGCCGCAUCACGGGACUCCGCCGCGGCCGCCGAUCCCGCCUCCGACCCCAACCUCCUCCAGUCGGUGCGGAUGGUGUUCGAGAUGUGCAAGGAGGCCAAGGGGGCCAACGACGAGAUGGUGGCGCGGGCGUUCCCCGUGAUGAACAAGCUCUUCCAGCGCUGCGCCGCCGCGCCCACGCUCUCCACGGCCUCCACCGGCGUGCUCCUUCUGACCAUUCUGCAGUUCUUCCUGGACUUUGGGGAGGCGGUCUUGCACGACGCUGAUGGUAGCUUGAAAACCUUCUUCCGCUCUUGCUUAAGUAGGGAGUUUUCAGACCCUAUUGUCGCAGAACGCACGCUUGAAUUCCUGAUAGCGAACAAGACGAAGAUCUUGAACUGCUUCCCCACCCUGGUUCCGCAGUUCUUCCCAUUGCUGCUGAAGUUGAUUGCAUCAAAUGGUGAUAGGUUGGAUAAGAAGUUCUCAGAAGUGCUACCAUUGAUGAUGUCAGCAGGAUCUUUUCUUCCUCUCUUCCUGUCCCUUAUGGAUCUGCCAAUGUUAGUGGUAGCACUGGAAAAGGUGGAAAGAAGUUCUGGAACUCUCAUCGGUAGUAGUUUAGCUACUAUACAGAAGAGUGCUGCUCCUGAGAUGCUCCUUGCACUGAUGGAUGAGGCAUAUACUGGCUCCUCAAUAGAAGAUCAAAGUGGCAAUUCAGGUUCUGAUGAUAGUGGUCGUCUAGACCUUGCUGACCCAAUGUUCCUUGACCUUCUAAAAGACGAGAAUGAUGGCAUUGCUGCAAAACAUUGGACAUCCCCUACGAUAUCUUCAACGUUACAAGCUGCACUUAACAGCCCACAGUCUGACAGAUUAAAACAGUCACUGAAAAUGGCACCUCGCUUUCUUACUGUAUAUUUUGCGACAGCAUUGCGGGAUGUCAACAACUCACUCUUGUGUGCUCUGAUUCCAGUAGCUAUGUCAAGAUAUGCUGCGAUGUUCCCUGACAAGGAUUUUUCUUUCGAGGUGAGGAAAAAGCUGUCGGAUUUCUUAUUAGCUGCAUUCCAGCGCUCCCCUGACAUCAUUGCGCUACUAAAGAAGCCUAUUACUGAUAGACUUGGGGAGGCCCAUGGUAAUCCUGCAAAGAUGGAAUUAGCAUUGCAUUUGUGUUGGGCCAUUGGUGAGCAUGGAGCAGGAGGGAUAAAGCACAAAGAUGUAGCACGUGAACUAUUUGAAAAUCUGGAGUUGCUACUAUACGAAAACCUGGCAACUAGUCGUUUGGGAUUAAGUCAAGAUCCAGGGUUCGAUUCUAUGGGUGCAAGCUCUAGAAAGUCAUCCCAAGCUAGGCUCCUCUGCUUUGUGGUGACUGCCAUUGCGAAGCUAGCAACUUGCCAUAACGAGCUGCUUCCAAGAGCACGUGUGUCAUUGGCUAAGUUGCUUUCCUGCAGGUCGCUCGGUCCAGGACCUCAGACAGGCGAGUCUGGCAGCGCGCCUGUGACUAUUUAGGGCUCAUGAAUGAACCAGCCAUUUGUUUGUCUGUACUGGGACCAUCCACUGCCCAAGGAAAUGGUCCUGGGAUUGUGAACUGGAGCGAAGGAGGAACCAAGAUGGUAGCUCACAUUCCGUUUUACCUUUUAGCAGAACAGAAAGGUCCACCAUCUCAUGAUUUUUCAUACACGGACCUCCUCCCCGCAGAAUGAGAACACCGUCAUGAGUAUGGAUCCAUGCAAUGAUUCUCUUGCAAACGCCAUGUGCACAGAGAUCAUUGGUGAUCAUAGCCUGCUGAAGAUGAUUCAAGUGCCAAUGCCGCCUUCUUUUAUUCAGUUCAUCUUUUCGAUCGAGAAGUGCUGGCCCGUUAGUCUGAUGAGUUCCUAAACUGUUGUAGUUUCUGGGAUCUGGCUGGUAUUGAUCAACUGUGCAGUUUGUGGGGAUGUAGAUGGUAUUCAGAAACGCUCAAUGUUGUACUGAAAGGGCGGCAGUGUUGUAAAUUUAAGAUAUCUGAUGGUGUUGUACACACAUCUACUAAUGGGCUGUUCUUGUGAUUGGGGACGAAAAA